AAUCUCUAUCAGUCUUGCUACUCAAAUGAUUUGUCAAAUGAUUUGUCAAAUGAUAGUCACUGUUCUUGCAGGGAAGUGCAUCUCAACCACCAAUACGAUGUGAAGAAACUACAAGCAUUAGUGUAAACAGUUUGCAGUCCAUUUUGCCUUGCCUCACGUUGCUCUCAACUGCCUUGGUGAUGGUUCACGAUGCGACUGGUUCACUACAGCAAUGUCGCGCCUUGCUGGAUUCAGGAUCGCAAGGCACACUUAUUUCUGCAGCAUGUGUGCAAUGUCUUCAGUUAAAACCCAAAUACGACAACACUAUUCUCUAUGGAGUAGGAUCAACGGAUGGAAGUCGCUCAAAAGGAAAAGUGUACAUAAGCACUCAUGCACCUCAAGGCUAGACCAUCACAACAGAGGGACUGUGUUUAUUAAAUCUAACACGGAACUUACCUUCAUAUAAGGUGUCCAGCCAGACCACAGAGUUUUUUAAGCAUUUGGAAUUGGCCGACCCGUGCUGACAAGCCAAUUCGCAUUGACCAUAUUCUCGGAGCAUAUGUUCUAGCCGAUUGCAUAUUACCAAGUAUAAUAUCACACCCCAGUGGCUCACCAUCGGCAAUGCAAUGAUGAAUUAGCAGCUGAAUAUCAUUAUUACCAAUUUGUUAAGCGAGACAAGUGUGGAAAGUAUGUAGUUAAACUUCCAUUGAAGAACGAAUCAAUUCAACUCGGUGAAUCACGUAACAACGCUCUAAAACGUUUUUUAGCUAUGGAACGAUGUUUUAAUAAUAUUACUCAGCUCAAGCAAUAAUACCAAAAAUUUAUGAACGAUUAUAUUACUUUGGGCCACAUGGAGCCGGCUGGUAAUUUCGACCCAAAACGUACGUAUUUUUUACCGCAUCACGCAGUGCUAAAGCCUAGCAGCACAACAACUAAGUUGGGUGUUGUUUUCGAUGGGUCGUGCAGGACGACCAAUGGGCUCUCGCUCAGCGACCAUUUGCUAGUAGGAUCCACAAUUCAGAGAUCUAUUUGACGUUAUAUUAAAUUUUUGCAAGAAUAAGUGGGGAUUCUCUGGCGAUAUAGAGAACAUGUAUCGGCAGAUCUUGGUGGAUCCUGACGACCAAUCACUGCAGCGUAUCCUUUAGCGGAGUUCAAACGAUGACCCCAUAAAAGAGUAUAACCUCAAGACUGUAAGCUAUGGAGCUUUAGCCGCGCCGUUCCUGGCAACUAGAACCUUGAAACAAACCGCCAAUGACAACGCUAAUGCACAUCCGCAAGCAGCUGAAGCAAUUUCACAGCAAUGCACGUAGAAGAUUUUAUGGCAAGCGCUAUCGAUGAAGCUACUGCAAUUCAACUUAAAGAAGAAAUUUGCGCUGUGUUAUCUGAUGCUGGUUUACAUCUGCGCAAGUGGUCUUCAAAUUCAGCAACUUUUUUGAAAAGUAUUCCAAGUGAGGACCGAGAGGUCCAAUCUGAUACCAUUAUAGACUCUACAUGCACAGUAAAGACACUUGGACUUUUAUGGGAUACAUCGACCGGCAGUUUUAAACACAGCGUUUGUUUGCCAUCAAACCAACAUACAACCAAACGAAGUGUUUUAUCGCAUUUAGCUAGUUGUCAUAUCAAUGAAGAUAUUUACGCAAAAACUGUGGUUGAGAGGAAUAGGAUGGAACGAGGCAUUACCGCCAGACCUUUACACUCAAUGGGUUGAGUAUCGAGAAAGCAUCAACCGCAUAUUGCAAUCACACAUUCCAAAGUGGAUAUGUUACUCCAAUGAGAAGCUCGUACAACUACAUGGAUUUGCACUCUUCAGAGCUAGCAUACGCAGGCAACUAUAUACAUUAGGGUUCAAUAUGAAAAUGGGCAAAUAUCAACAAACUUGAUAGCUCCUAACACGCGUGUGGCUCCAGUGAAACAAAUCACACUACCAAGGCUUUAGUUAUUUGCUUCACAUCUGAGCGUUGGAGACACAUUCCUUCUCAGCAAAAUCCUGCAGAUCUUGCCACAAGGGGAUUGCGUCCUCAAGAACUUCUAUCUAACGAGAUUUGGUGGCAUGUUCCAGGCGAAUUAAAAGACAUUCCAGGUACGUGAAAUUUAGUGCCUCCUUUGGAAGAUGACAGACCGCAGGAAGAACGGAAAAGCACGGUUGCAUUUGCAAGCACAACAACUGAGGUUUCGUUGCUAGAGCGCUACUCCUGUUUUACACGACUGCUGCGAAUAACAUCACUUCUUUUGCGAUUUGUCAACAACUGCAAUGCUAAAUGCAUUAACAGCAAAGCGCUGUGUAAUCAAUCCAUUACAACCAGCGAGCACAUGAUGUCCUGGUUAGGUCAGCACAAGCAGUAUCUUACACAUUCGAGUUAAGAACUAUCGGUCAAGAUAGGCAGUUACCAUCUUCCCAUAAGUUGGCACCACUUUCUCCAUUUAUUGACGAACAAGGACUACUCCGAGAAGGUGGCAGAGUUACCAACGAAAAAAUCAAUUAUAAUCAGAAACAUCCAUUCAUAUUGGACAAAACUCACCCGUUAACUAAACUAAUUGUAAAUGACUAUCACAUACGUUACUUGCAUGCUGGACAGAGGCAGUUACACCAUCUCUUGGCUCUUAAAUACUGGAUUCCAGGAGUCACAUAUGUUAUCAAGCAGUGCAUAUUUAAAUGUACAGUAUGCAUGCGAAACCGCGGCAUUUCCAACCCAAACAACAACAAAUGGGUGACAUACCAAAAUAUCGGCUGGACCCAGGAUCGCCUUUCCUCAACACGGGGAUCGACUUUGCUGGGCCAAUACAGGUAACAAGAACUUACUUAGAAGGGACGUGGCUCUAAACUGUAUAAAUGCUGGAUAGUACUUUUUAUUUGCUUGACCACCAAAGCAAUACAUAUUGAGUUGGUGACUGAAUUGUCUACAGCGGCUUUCAUUGCGUCACUACGAAGAUUCACUGCGCGGCGCGGAAAACCAUUACAUAUAUUCUCGGAAAAUGGUACCAAUUUAGUGGGUGCCAAUCAACAUUUGCGGGAACUAUACCAAUACAUAAAUUAUUCAACGACACAGGAAGCCUUUCAAGAGCUUCUGCUGAGCAAGAUAUUCAGUGGCACUUCUCUCCACCUUCAGGACCCCAUUUCGGCGACAUAUGGGAGCCAGGCGUGAAGUCAGUCAAGUAUCAUUUAAAACGAACAUUGGCUGACGCGGACGUUACAUAUGAGGAGUUGCACACUAUUCUCUGUCAAAUUGAAGGAUGUCUCAAUUCACGUCCACUAUGUACCAAAUUUGAAGGAGAUCUCGAUCCCUUGUCUCAAGCACAUUUUCUGAUUUUGUGUCCGAUGACUUCUGUGCCAGAAACCUCCUUAACCUAAAGGAAAACGCAGUAAAUCAUUGGCAAUACCUUCAGAAGCUCACACAGCGUUUUUGGAAAAGGUCGUCAAUCGAAUAUAUAACACAAUUGCAACAACGUCCCAAAUGGUCUCAACGUUUGAGGAAUCUCGAGUUGAACGAUGUGGUUAUCAUAAAGGACGACAACCUACCACCAACCCAAUGGUCCAUUGAAAAGAUCUCAGAAGUGCAUCCAGGAUCCGAUGGUUUAGUGCGAGUGGUGUCUGUAGACACAGUUAGGGGGACCCUAAAAAUACCCAUUAUCAAACUUUGCCCACUGUUCAUCGAUAUUUAAAAGCGGAUGCUUUCAAGAGGCCCCGAAUGUUAAUAAUACUAUUUGAAAUCAACCGUGGUGGCUUGCCAUUUCUGACAUUUAUAUAUUUCUAUUUUUAUUCGCAACCAACUUCACUUACUUCUUGAAUUGGGAGAUACACACACAAAUUUUUCUAGAUAUAAGUUGCGUUCCCUAACCCGCAAGAAGUUGCAAGAAUUUACAGGAAUAACCCAGAAACGUUGGGGAACGCAACUAUAGAUACACAAAGUUUUCUCGUUCUGCUUUUUAUAUUGAAUAUGUAAAGUGUAUGAGACAAAAGAAAAUUGGAUUUCGGUGCAUUUAUUUUUUGAUUACUGGUCACUGAAGAGAAACCAAAUCAGCAUUUUGGUUUGAUACAGUGGGCUUGUCUAUUUUUUUCCUGGCCUAUCUAUCGGGUUGGCAGGUAUGAACAGGGAAGUAAUACUAGUAAUUAUCACUCAUCUGUUUAGCAUAUUCUAUAGGCUUUACGCUUUCGAUCAGUAUAUAUGUAUGUAAUUUGUUCAUUAAACAAAUGAGUGCAAAAUUAAAAAAAAAAAUAUUAUUUCUUUUUUUUUUUAUAAUUUAAUUAAAAAUAUCCUGGCCAGGAUUUUUCCAGCCAACCCACUCGCGAUAUAUUUCCUAACAAGUUAAAGUUCUUACAAAAUAGGUUUCAUCCAUUAAACAGAUGGGUGAAGGUCAUGCCUUAUUCGUAUCUUCUACAUUAACAUUAGGGCUGUUCAGGAUAUUGUGGAAAUGGUCUUGAAUUUGCUGUUGGAAUUGCAUUUGUAAAUUUUAUGCCUGCUACCAUGGCAACCGUGCGCAUUUUUUUGUUGUGAAUUUACAAAUGCACCGAAUAUGCAAGAGCAUAUGCACAAGAUCCUAUACAGCCCUACUAUUCUUAAUAAUUUUCCCUUAUAGAUAUUUGUUUUAUUUAGUAACAUUUAAUGAAAUUAAGACUCGCGGCAAAUACAUAUGCGUGUAAAUGUGGGUGAAUAUGGAUUUAUUAAUGUAUGUAAAUUAAAAUAUCGCUUUCGAAGUCCAUUUGACGGCAUAGCCGACUUCAAUUUAUACAAAUGCAAGAUGCCUAGUACUAAUUGCAAGUAAAAAAAUUAAUCUGUUCCUUUACCGGCAGGUUUAAAACAUUUAGUACCUUUUUGGCAGUAGAUUUUCAAAUUUAUUUGUCCCUCAAACACAUUUUUUUUUUUUUCAGAACAAAAUUUGUGUUUAAAGGUCAGAAAAUUUCAAAACCUGCUUGAGAAAACGGCCCUAAGUCAGAAAAAGUUUGAUUUAGUCCGGAAGAUAUUUUAAAUCAGGGAUGGAAUUUUUUGAAUGAAUUAUUAUUCAAAUAAAAACUUUAUCUUAUUUAUUACGAAUGACGUUUAAAUUUUUAUUCUUCACUCAAGUAAUUUCAAAUAACGAAUAAAUUUUAUUCAUUAUCAUGAAAUUUCCAAUAAGGAAUAAAUUUGUAUUCUUCAUUCCAGUAACUUCAAA